rnacentral:rRNA from 1 species
AGUGGAUGGGGAGCAACCUAGUUGUGCGUGUGUAAAGGUAGUGCCAAGAAAAGCGAUGAUCAUGUUGAAAAUCAAUUCCCGGUACCCGAAACCGACACAGGUGGGCAAGUAGAGAAUACUAAGGGGCGCGAGGUAACUCUCUCCAAGGAACUCGGCAAAAUGACCCCGUAACUUAGGGAGAAGGGGUGCCACCGAGAGGUGGUCGCAGUGAAGAGGCCCAGGCGACUGUUUAGCAAAAACAUAGGUCUCUGCAAACUCGAAAGAGGAGGUAUAGGGGCUGACGCCUGCCCAGUGCCGGAAGGUUAAAGAAGUUGGUCAGUCUUAGGAUGAAGCUAGCGACUGAAGCCCCGGUGAACGGCGGCCGUAACUAUAACGGUCCUAAGGUAGCGAAAUUCCUUGUCGGGUAAGUUCCGACCCGCACGAAAGGCGUAACGAUCUGGGCGCUGUCUCGGAGAGAGGCUCGGCGAAAUAGGAUUGUCUGUGAAGAUACGGACUACCUGCAUUUGGACAGAAAGACCCUAUGAAGCUUUACUAUAGCUUGGAAUUGUGUUCGGGCUUCCUGUGCGCAGGAUAGGUGGGAGGCGUAGAAGGUAUUCUUGUGGGGAUACUGGAGCCAACGGUGAGAUACCACUCUCAGGAGGCUAGAAUUCUAACUUAAUUAAGGACAGUUUCAGGUGGGUAGUUUGACUGGGGCGGUCGCCUCCAAAAAGGUAACGGAGGCGUACAAAGGUUCCCUCAGACUGGUUGGAAAUCAGUCGAAGAGUGCAAAGGCAGAAGGGAGCUUGACUGCGAGAAGUACAGUUCGAGCAGGGUGGAAACACGGUCUUAGUGAUCCGACGGUGCUGUGUGGAAGGGCCGUCGCUCAACGGAUAAAAGUUACUCUAGGAUAACAGGCUGAUCUCCCCCAAGAGUUCACAUCGACGGGAAGGUUUGGCACCUCGAUGUCGGCUCAUCGCAACCUGGGGCGGAAGUACGUCCCAAGGGUUGGGCUGUUCGCCCAUUAAAGCGGUACGUGAGCUGGGUUCAGAACGUCGUGAGACAGUUUGGUCCAUAUCCGAUGUAGGCGUGAGAAUAUUGAGAGGAGCCUUCCUUAGUACGAGAGGUCCGGGAAGGACGCACCGCUGGUGUACCUGUUAUGAUGCCAAUUGUAAACGCAGGGUAGCCAAGUGCGGAGAGGAUAACCGCUGAAAGCACCUAAGUGGGAAGCCCACCUCAAGAUGAGUAUUCUGGUGUAAGGUCACGGGAAGACGACCCGUAAAUAGGCACGAGGUGGAAGUGCAGAGAUGUAUGAAGCCGAAGUGUACUAAUAGACCGUCGGCUUGAC